CUUCGUUGACUUAUUUAUAUUUAUCUGCUGCAUUGUUUGUUGUACACUGUUGCAUGUACACACACUUGGCACUUUCGUUGGGAUGCGUGACCAUGUUGUCAUCAUUAUGACGUCUCGAUUCUCGUGUUUCCUUACAUAGGGGUCGGGGGCACCACAGUCUGUUUGGGUGGG